UCCCCAGAUGAUGUUGAACUACAACUCCCAUCAUCCCUAGCUAGCAAGGCCAGAGUUUAGGGAUGAUGGGAGUUGUAGUCCAACAACACCUGGGGA
rnacentral:miRNA from 1 species